UUCAUUAUGUAAAGCUACAUUAUUUGCAUGAAAAUGUGCUAUAUGAAUAAAUGUUGUUGUUGUACAUGUGCCAGUAAUGGCUGACAAUAAGAACAAUAAAGCCAUUACUGAGCAUUGUGACACUAGAGCCACACUGAGGUAGCCAUAAGAGAUGAAGAUUCACACAUACAGUACGUGUUUGCAGAGUGUUUGCUCUCUUACAUUAAAGCCAACAUCCCAGCCUCCCUGGACUCAUAUCAAUUUGUUUACAGAGUUAAUAGAUCUACAGAGGAUGCCAUCUGUCCAGCUCUGCACACAGCCCUGGCUCAUCUGGAGGGACAGGACACAUACACGAGGAUGCUAUUUGUGGAUUAAAGCUCUUCUUUCAAUACUGUUGUCCCCUUCCAGCUCAUCCAUAAACAGCACCAGUUGGGCCCCAGCAUACCACUAUGUCAUUGGAUCCUCGGCGUCCUGUCAGGGGGCCAUCAGGCAGUACAGUCAGGCCCCAAUUUCUCUUCCAACCUGAACAUGGGCACACCACAAGCCGGUGUGCUCAGCCCUAUCCUCUACUCCCUCUUCGCUCAAGAUUGUUUACCUGCAUAUGCCACCUAUACCAUCAUAAAAUUUGUAGAUGACACCACAGUGAUUGGGCUAAUUUCCAAUAAUGAUGAAUCAGACUACAGAGUGGAGGUGAAAAAUCUGGUGAGAUGGUGCUCAUCGAACAACCUAUCCCUCAAUGCAUGGAAGAUCAAGGAACUCAUCAUCAGUCUCAGAAGAUCACGUGAUGAGGUUCAUGCUCCAAUUUUCCUCACUGGGUGACAGGAUGGAAGGUGUAUCAAGCUUUCGUUUCCUGAGGAUAUACUGUAUAUCAAUAGGGACCCUUCAUGGACAGCUAACACCACGGCACCAUUGAAGAAGGCACAGCAGCGGCUGUUUUUCUUAAGAAUGUUGAAAAAAGCUGGCCUCCCUCGAUGGAUGCUGCUGACCUACUACCGCUGCACCACAGAGUUUUUUGACCCAUUGUAUUUGUGUGUGGUAUCUUAGCUGCACAGCAGCUGAAAGGAACUCUCUACAGCGGGUUGUGUCGAGAGCACAGAGGAUUGUAAGGGUACAGCUUCCAGCCCUGGAGGACAUCUAUGGCACACACUGCCUCAGGAAAGCCACCAACGUCUUCAUGGAUUCCACUCAUCCAUGUCGUAGUCUGCUUGAACUUCUCCCAUUCAGCAAAUGCUACAGAACCUUCUAUGCAACAACCUCGAGGCUCAGAGACGGUUUCAUCCCAAGAGCUAUAAACGCACUCAGUUUAAUGCUGAGCUGGGACAUGUGGUGAGGCGUCAAAGAAAAGGACGAGUGUUGGUCACUUUGCCCCGAAAGAUUUUAGAUAUCAAACUGCUUUGCUCCAGCAGUUUUCUGAUUGUGCGGCGACCCGGGGUUUAGUUGUUCUACCAGGGCAGCGGUAAAACCCCUAUUUAGUCGCUGUGUCCUGGAUUGCAUUCGUUGUUGGGGUCUGGAUCGUCUGUCUACCUGUGUGCUGAGGACUGUUUGAGGAUUCACGGCUUUCCUGCAAGUAAAGGAGCGCUCCUGAACAAUCCAGCCGUCUUCACCCUUACAGUGUCUACUGUUUUCUGGUCUGGCGACCUGCGCCACC